rnacentral:rRNA from 1 species
UACAGAGGUCUCAAGCGUUGUUCGGAUUCAUUGGGCGUAAAGGGUGCGUAGGCGGCGCGGUAAGUCGGGGUGUGAAAUCUUGGAGCUUAACUCCGAAACUGCAUUCGAUACUGCCGUGCUUGAGGACUGGAGAGGAGACUGGAAUUUACGGUGUAGCGGUGAAAUGCGUAGAUAUCGUAAGGAAGACCAGUGGCGAAGGCGGGUCUCUGGACAGUUC